UUGUGUAGCUGUCGGCUACUGGCGGCUGUUUCGACGUGCUCUCCCGGUCCUCGCUUGUGGAGGAGAGGAGGGCGGUGGUGGCUGCCGCCACGGUGCUGAGGAAGUGCCCGCUGGCUUUCCUAUCUGAGAGGGCUGGGGGAGAGCUGGCAGAGCCUUUGCAUUACUCUCUGCAUUACUCUCUGCAGUGGCACCUCAGCUUCACGGGGCUGGAGGCCAAAGCAGGGAGAAGCUGGUCUGCAGCCCACUCCAUUACAGUUCUAAGUUCUACAUGAUGAAAUAUCUGGUGUUUGGAAUUCCUUUUUGAAGUUCUCAAUAGUUGGAUGCAGAAACCUGUGUGAAAAUAUCCACUUUCAAAUUCAGGUAAACAGAAGAAUUGAACAAUCAAUUCCUCAAAAUGAGCAGAAAAACUUCCAAGUGUUUCAGCUUGACUUUGUGACAGUAAUUCUGCAGUGUAGAUUCAGCACGUGAACAGUGUCUGAACUUCAGAAGAGAACUGUCCUGCUCCAGAGGAGGGGUCUGAUGCCCAAGUUCACACAGGAAGCCAAUGCAAGAGCAGCAGCUUUUCUCCUGGGUCUCACAUUGGCACUUGGACAGCUGAACCCAGCUUCCUGCAUUCUGAGCUCAAGCAGGGCACAGGGACACAUUCAUUUGGCCAAGGGAUGGUGUCUCCAUGAAGAUAAGACCAUUGGCUCUCUAUGGAAAAAAAAAAGUUUUUCUCAAAUGCAGGAUAUGGUGACAGAGGAUUCAGUGAACAGUGGAAUUCCCACCAACAUGGAACGGCUUGUGGCAAAUCUGAAGUCCAAGGCUAUCCUUGGCUGAAGAGACCAUGAAGUGAGGGAGUUAAGAUUCAUACGGCAGCCAGAGCAAGCUCACUACUUGUGGAUGCCUUAUCCCUAACCAUAAAAACUGAGGAUUAGAAUCUACAGUCAUUGAAUCCUUUAUACAUAUUACUCUUCAUUUUACAUUUAUGGAGUCCAACACAAACCAGUAAAUGUGGGAAUACAAGAAAAACUGUUCAGAGCAGCAGCUGUGGAGCAAGAUAAACAACAUGAAAACCAAGGACACCUCUAAAAGAAGAAAGAACGACUCAUGGCUCUGAUUGGAUAAGCACCUGCACAAACAGUUGAAGAGUGUUUUGUAGAAUGCUCUAUUGACAUGUAAAGGUGGAUGGGAAAGUUGUAGGGUUGAUGGGAAAGCUAGAAAAAGAAAACUUGUAUAUAAGUGAUGUGAGAACUUGUAAUAAAUGAUUGGGAUCGUUCACAUCUGAGUCCGUGCAUCAGAUGCUGCAAGUAAAGAUGCCCAUAUAUAAUUGUAACUCCAGUAAAAGAUGUUCAUUCUGUAAACACUUAUUCAUUUAGGUAGCAAUUAGUUGAUUUGAUUUUACUCACAGUAUAACUCUAAACCACAGAUAUUGUAGAUUAUUUUCAGAAUUGGGAAUGCACAUUAUCAAAACAUAAGUUUUUUAAAGUUUUUUUUUUAAGUUAUCAAAACAUAAGUUUUUUUUUUAAUUAAAAAAUUAUUUAAGAAGAAUUAUUAUUAAGAAGUAUUAAUUAAGGAGAAUUCUUCUUCUUAGUAUGUUAGACUCUAUUAAGUUUGCUUGGAACUGUGUUAGGGAAGAGAAGACAUUUUUCAAAAUGGACAAAUUUCUGAAUGUGCUGUCAUGCUAUAAUAUUGGUUCUUGACAUAGCACUUUUUUCCUCCUUCAGAAUAUGACUUCACAUAUCAGUAGUCCUCAAAUUCACAGGCACGUGUCAGCUUUACCAGCUGCUCAUUAAUUUAUAUAUUUUAAAGAAGGCAGAGAAAUAUGGAAAGCUUGUUUCUUAUCAAGUGAGUCAAAUGUGCGUAUGAACUUAAAGAGGAAACAUAAUGGGUCAACAGGACAAAACUCCCACACUCAAUUCCUGUCUGUUUGAUGAGUUCCUUCACCAGAGUUUGAUCCUAGGAAUGUGCACAUUUAUAGCACAGUGUUCCUUAUUUUAAAACAGCUGUGAUUCACUGUAUGGAGGGUAGGAGAACUGAGAAGUUUGAGUACAUUAGCUAUUUUAAAGGAGGAAAAAAAAUACCCUUUUUUCAUUUUUCUGGAAGAAAUUUAGCAGGCAGAAUAUUUAAGCAGCACAUUUAGUCUUAUAUUUGAUCCUGCCACCAGUUACUUUCUACUUCUGCAAGCAGCUUACUUUGUCACUUAGUAUUAAAUGUAUUACCCACAGAGCAGUAAUUACAUUUGACACAUAAUUAUUAUGGUUUUGAUGACAAGAAGGCCUUUUCUUUUCCUGCUUUCAUAACAUAUAUUCCUGAUAGUGUUGGCUUGCUGAAUACAGUUAGUUUAAAAGCACUUGGAUUUAAAUUGAACCCUUGGACAAAGAAUAAAAUGAAAUGGUAAAGAAAGGGUGAGUACAUUUGAAAAUUCCACAGAUGAUCUCACACGAGUAGAAAGGAAAGCACAGGAAAGAAAGCCUUUAAGUGUUGUUAACGCAAAAGGAGAAAGAGCUGCUCACUGCAGCCAUGCCAGAUCCCCAACAGGAAAGGAGUGCUUUUAAAGUUAAUAAAUUGAAGGAGGUUUGGAAAAAACGGAGGCUCCUGGCAAGGCCACAUAAACUACACAAAUGACUUUCUAAUCUUGCCACCUGGGCAUUUUUCCAGCUCUGCACUCUGAGUCACCCCCAGCUGCAGGCCUGGAUGAGCAGUUUAACAAUCCUUCAGUUUUUUACUUUUUUUUUUAAUGAUCAGAAUUGGAGUAUCAUGUUUCUGGAGCCUGGGGGUUGUGUGGUAUUCAAGCAGGGUGAGUGCUUGGAAUUCCUCCAACCAUACCUGCAGCUGCCUCUCAGGAACGGUUAGAAACCUAAAGCUGCAAUGUUUGGGCUAUUAACUUCUAGCUACCUUGUCUCCUCUUGAUUUCUAAUGGCACACAUGAGAAGCAGUUUGGAAGGCAGUAAAUACACCUCUAUCUUUUUAAAAAUAAAGUUACAAGAGAUGGAGGGAGCAACAUUAAUGCUGGGAAUCCUUCAGCUGAGCAGUUUUGAAGGAAACCUGAGAGGAAAAGAAUGACCUGGCUUCCUUCUCUAAUCUGUGAGCUGAACAUCAGUGUCAAGGAAGCUGAACUUGAUGUACAAGGGAGCCUUCUUUUUGAUGUGUGCUCUUCAAUCAGUGCUGAAACAAUGAUAAUUAAGUUAACAUACUAUAAAGCAGCUCUAAUUUUAGCCUGGCUUGUUAUUGUAAGCGUUGGUAGGGAAUGGUAGAGGGGGAGGCAGAGGCUGCUAUGAGUGACUAAUGCUGUAUUUCACACUCAUAAGCCAUUUUUAGUAAUGUGGGAUAUAAAAAUAAGCUUUCAGUAAAAUGUUUCCUAUUUGACUUCUGUUUCCUUUCUUCUUUCCCUCUCAACGAUGGAUUUAACUAAUUACUCUUUUAGCUGGAUGUUGAUAGACAGGUAUUUAUUAUUGGUACUGUAAGCCCCUAAAUUUUUUUCCACAGUGAGUCCACAAACGUAUACAUUAUACUAUGAUUCUCUGGGGCUGUCAGAGUUACAGAACAGCCUGAGGCAUAGCAGUAUGAUAAAGUUUUUAGGCCCUGUUUAGUUAAGACUGAAAAUCUGGGACCCAGCCAAUCUAUACCACUCAGGGCUCUUUUCACAGUCCAAAAUGAUUUGGCUUAAACAUUUCCAACUGUGAUGAGGUCCCAUUUCAGUGAUUACACAGUCAUUCACUUUUCCACAUCAACAUCAAAGUCAUUAACAACGGAGUAUUAUUGCACUGGCUGGAAUUCAGUUAAGGACUAGAGGGAUGUUGCUCUUUAUUAAGAUAAAUCAUUGCCUUGGUUAUGUCACCCAUGAAAUAAUCAAUUUACUGUGUUGGUUAAUUUCCUUCCUCUUUGAUCUGUGAAUUAAAUUCAACAGAUCAUUGUUUCACACAACUGCCGUGAAAAGGAUGCCUUAAAAGAAAUGUGCCACAAUUUCUGAUGAUAGAAGUCCAAUAAGUAUGUAAAACAAGAUGACUGGAAGUGACCUAAGAACUUUGUUGAUUUUUUUUUUUCUUUCCAUUCUUCCUUUCAAUGAUUUCCUUUGAAAGCUUCAGGGGAUAAUGAACCAUCAGCACCCAUUUGGGUGAUCCUCACUUAAAAUUCCUGAAGAAUUAACGAGAGGAAAGAGAAAAACUAGCAGAAUUAACUCUGAAGCUUUCAGAUGAGUUAGGUUUGUGCCAGAGCCAGUGAAAAUGUUUUCACCUAAGUGUAUGGAAAUGUAUUGGUAAAUUUAUGAGAUGUACAUACUUGGAUGCUUACUCUGAGGAAUUUUCUAGAAAAAUUCUACUCUCACACCAAGCCAAAUAUUGUGAUCAAAAUAAAUCUAAAUAAUACAAUGUAUUUGUAUUGGUUCCUAUUCCAAUCUUCUUUUGCAUUGUACUAUAUAUUCUGAAAUUGAAACAUAAAUAAAUAAGUGAACAAGUUAGGGACAAUAUUGCAUACUUGCCUAGUCACACACAACUGCGUUGAGAAGGUCACUGUAAAUGAUAAGUAUUUCAGAUAGACUUUGAGAUAAACUUUAUGCAGCAUUAUAGUUCUAAUUGUGGAACCAAGACACUAAGCUUGCAAGUUUUUGUCUCUAAGGUUCUAGAACAUGAAUUAGUGAGUACUAAUGCUAGUAUUUUUGAAAGAAAAGGCAUAUUAAAAUAUUACUAUAAUAAUUGAGCUAGAAUUCCCAAUGGAACUAACAAUAAAUUAACACCUUUUUUUAUCUCCCUUUUGUACCAGUAAAAUAUUUUCUCUCAUCUUUAGUUCAUAGAUCUGGUUUGUAGUAAGGGACUGCUAGACUACUUAGUUAUGCAGGAUGCUCCAAAAGUAAUGCCUCCUAUUUAUUUCCAUACAACAGAUACAAAAAACCCAAUAACACCAUUUGUUAGAACAAAUUCUCAGCUAUAAAG